rnacentral:misc_RNA from 1 species
CCAAUAUAUAUAUAUAACAAUCCUAUGUAUUUUCUAAAUGCAAACAGAAUCUUACUCAGGUAUCCGGUUUUGACAGAUCAUUCCAUUAUUUUUGCACGACAUUUGGCAAAUACGAUACUACUUUUUUAGAAUCGUCAGGUACGACGAAGCACAGGAUCUUUAAGCCAUUCGUGCGCGUUUCUCGCGAGGAAUAUUGUCACGUGACGUGGAAGAUUGCGGUGCAAAAACCAGAAUCCCCACACCAAGUUGUUCAAUGUGUUUGGACGAAGCGUGACGCAGAUUAGCAAUAACAAUAACCCGCCGAUAAGGAGUCACGGGCAGGAUGCAUGUCCUCCUGAAAGAAAGACAGGCAGAAGGAUAAG